rnacentral:rRNA from 1 species
AAGCUCGUAGUUGAAUUUCGGGAUUAGUACGUUGGUCGUGCCUUAGGUACGUACUGGUGUUACUGGUUCCUACCUUCUGACGAACCAUCAUGUCAUUAAUUUGGUGUGGUGGGGAAUCAGGACUGUUACUUUGAAAAAAUUAGAGUGUUUAAAGCAGGCUCGCGCUUGAAUACAUUAGCAUGGAAUAAUAAAAUAGGACGUGCGGUUCUAUUUUGUUGGUUUCUAGAGUCGCCGUAAUGAUUAAUAGGGAUAGUUGGG